rnacentral:rRNA from 1 species
AUUGAACGCUGGCGGCAUGCCUUACACAUGCAAGUCGAACGGCAGCACGGGAGCUUGCUCCUGGUGGCGAGUGGCGAACGGGUGAGUAAUACAUCGGAACGUACCCAGGAGUGGGGGAUAACGUAGCGAAAGUUACGCUAAUACCGCAUAUUCUGUGAGCAGGAAAGCGGGGGAUCGCAAGACCUCGCGCUCUUGGAGCGGCCGAUGUCGGAUUAGCUAGUUGGUGAGGUAAAAGCUCACCAAGGCGACGAUCCGUAGCAGGUCUGAGAGGAUGAUCUGCCACACUGGGACUGAGAAACGGCCCAGACUCCUACGGGAGGCAGCGGUGGGGAAUUUUGGACAAUGGGGGCAACCCUGAUCCAGCCAUGCCGCGUGAGUGAAGAAGGCCUUCGGGUUGUAAAGCUCUUUCGGCGGGGAAGAAAUGGCAACGGCUAAUAUCCGUUGUUGAUGACGGUACCCGCAUAAGAAGCACCGGCUAACUACGUGCCAGCCGCCGCCGUAA